rnacentral:rRNA from 1 species
UGGGGAAUAUUGCACAAUGGGCGCAAGCCUGAUGCAGCCAUGCCGCGUGUGUGAAGAAGGCCUUCGGGUUGUAAAGCACUUUCAGCGGGGAGGAAGGCGAUAAGGUUAAUAACCUUGUCGAUUGACGUUACCCGCAGAAGAAGCACCGGCUAACUCCGUGCCAGCAGCCGCGGUAAUACGGAGGGUGCAAGCGUUAAUCGGAAUUACUGGGCGUAAAGCGCACGCAGGCGGUCUGUCAAGUCGGAUGUGAAAUCCCCGGGCUCAACCUGGGAACUGCCUUCGAAACUGGCAGGCUAGAGUCUUGUAGAGGGGGGUAGAAUUCCAGGUGUAGCGGUGAAAUGCGUAGAGAUCUGGCGGAAUACCGGUUGCGAAGGCGGCCCCCUGGACAAAGUCUGACGCUCAGGUGCGAAAGCGUGGGGAGCAAACAGG